UAUAUCUUACUUUUUAGAUCACUUCUAUAGGCGAUUGCCGUUUCUCGCCGAAUUCUCGGAAUAUAUGUCAACACGAUGGAGACAGUUAGUGGUAUCCUCUGAGCGGGAAGCUGUCUCACGAGUUUUACUUGCGAGAAUUGAUGACCGUAUCAGACUUCGGUUUACCGAUGUAUCAGAGGAGGAUGACCAGGGCUGAGUGUU